rnacentral:pre_miRNA from 1 species
GAACCCCUGUUGGAGAAGCAGGGCACGUGCAAACACACGUGCUGUCCUCUUUGCACGUGCUCCCCUUCUCCAACAUGGGUUU